CCCAGCGCUGUACUGCGGGCAUGCGCACUGGGCGUCCCAGCGCCACCGCCCAUCAGCUGAGAAUCUAGCUGGGGGCUCUGGGGCCGGUGGGUGCCUGAGGCCGGCGGAGGAGGAGGAGAAAGCCGAGGAGGCUGGGGUGACUUCUUAGGUGACAUCUGAUGAAAUUAGUGAAUAAGUAAAUCAGCUAUGUCUUACACUCCGGGUGUUGGUGGUGACCCUGCCCUACUGGCCCAGCGUAUCUCUUCCAAUAUCCAGAAGAUCACACAAUGUUCUGUGGAAAUACAGAGGACCCUGAAUCAACUUGGAACGCCUCAAGAUUCACCUGAACUUAGGCAACAACUGCAACAGAAGCAGCAGUAUACUAACCAACUUGCCAAAGAGACAGAUAAGUACAUUAAAGAGUUUGGAUCCCUGCCCACCACCCCCAGCGAACAGCGUCAGAGGAAAAUACAAAAGGAUCGCUUAGUGGCUCAAUUCACGACAUCACUGACAAACUUUCAAAAGGUCCAGAGGGAAGCUGCUGAGAAAGAGAAAGAGUUUGUUGCUCGAGUAAGAGCCAGUUCCAGAGUAUCUGGUGGUUUUCCUGAGGACACCUCAAAGGAAAGGAAUCUUGUAUCCUGGGAAAGCCAAGCUCAACCUCAGGUGCAGGUGCAGGAUGAAGAAAUUACAGAAGAUGACCUCCGCCUUAUUCAUGAGAGAGAAUCUUCUAUUAGGCAACUUGAGGCUGAUAUUAUGGAUAUUAAUGAAAUAUUUAAAGAUUUGGGAAUGAUGAUUCACGAGCAAGGAGAUGUAAUAGAUAGCAUAGAAGCCAACGUGGAAAAUGCGGAGGUGCACGUUCAGCAAGCAAACCAGCAGCUGUCAAGAGCAGCAGAAUAUCAGUGCCGUUUUUCACUAGACAAACCACUGCAUCCUUGGUGAUACAUUGAGAACAAUGAAGCUCUAUAGAAAUUGCUGAGUUACAGCCCGUUGUAUUCAGAGAUGCAGUAACUGUCACUCACCUUUACCUUCUGUGGGCCAGUGAUUCAGCGCAAAUCCAGAAAAACCCUGUGCAUCAUCAUUUUUAUCAUUGUCAUCGGACUUGUAAUUCUCGGUCUCAUCAUAUGGAGAGUGAAAGGCUGAAUUAUAAAGGAGCACACUGUUGCACUACAUUCUUUAAAUUAUGUACGAAGAUUCCUGUAAUCAUUUUUUUUUAUUAUUAUUAUUCUAAAGCUACUGCAUAAAGGAUGGCUCCCAUACUUUGUUAUUUUUAUUUGGCAGGGGGAAGUUUCUUUUAGAUUCAAUCUGAUAUUUUCUAAUACUGAAAGUUUUUCUUGGUAUCACUGCUGGCAUAACUUCUGUGCUUUUCAAUCUAGUAACUCUGAGGUUUUGUCCACGAUGUAUAUGCCUUUCAUUUAUAAUUUAUUUGCCCUGUUGACUUAGCUUUUGGAAUCAGUAAAUUUCAAGGUGUGUGUGUGUGUGUGUGUGUGUGUGUGUGUGUGUGUGUGUGUUCGUGUUCUGUGUGCAUCUGUCUCUGUCACAGAGUGACAUGCACCCAGAUUUGUGUGACUUCAAUUAAAAAUCUCAAAUUUAAUUUUGAUAUGGGCCAGCAGAGGAAAUAUUCUCAGUAACGUAGGGAAAAUUAACCCAUCUGUUUGUGGUGGUUUGUUUUCUUUCGUUUUCUGGUUCAUAACAGCACAAAUUAUCUAUUUAACUUUUAUUGUUGGUUUUCUCUUGAGACCUUCGUUUACUCUAAAUGAAAUCAGUGAGUAAUUUCCUAGAAUAUCUCAUCCUCCUGAUGUGUAUAUAUUAAACAUUGCUGUAGAUUGCCUAGUAAAAUACUAAGGAUAAUUGUUUUUGCAUAGGACCUGUUUAAGUCUGAUGUUUGCUGGGGUAUGUGUAGUCACUAAAUGUUAAAUGUAAUUUGGAGGAAGAGUAUGAAAAAUCAGUUCAUACUAUGUUAGAAAUCUGGAGAUCCAACUUGUUAUUCUGCUGUGUACUUCCACAGCUAUUAGGGUGGAAAAUUAAUUACCUUCCCUGAAAUCCUUCAGAAUUAUGGCUACAUGUAUAUCCUUGGGUCAGAAUUACUUUUGGGGAGCAACUUUCCCAGAAUUAUUGUUUUUGAGCACUAACACUUAAAAUUUAAUGUUUACCUUGCAUACCAUUUUGUACCAUCCUCCAUUAGAAAACAAUUUGGAUGUUUGCCAAUUAACCACUUGCCUUUUUAAAUCAAUGUUGUUUUGAUGCACUAAUCUGAAUACUGUAAAGAAGUCUGUCUUAGUUUAUAGUUUGUAUUUUAUAACAAUGUUCUUACAUAGCAGUUUGAUAGUGAAGUCAGUGUUUUACAUGGCAAGCUGUGAGACUCCAAAUGGGAACAAAUAAAAUAUUAAGUAAAGCGUGUCUUUGCAACCAGAAUAAAGAUGAUUUUAAAAGUG